UCACCAUCACUUUCUGCAUGCUAAUAUUGUUAAAAAGCAUUUGCAAAGAGAACAUUGAGAAGUAAUCCACUUAUAAUUAAAGUGAAGUAACCUAUUCUAAGGUUGCAUAUUGGAACAGCAAAAAAGGACACAAAAAAGACUACGAAAAUAUGACCUUACACUGCAAGAAUUUGAAGAUGAUUUGAAGAGUGGUGAUCUAAAAAUAAUUAACUAAUUUCAAGUAACAGACUACAGAAGAAAAGUGCCAUUUCAU